rnacentral:ncRNA from 1 species
CUAUGCGACACGGGGUGUCCCUGGCGAUGACAGGGGCUGAGAUGACACCCGUAGAACCUGAUCCAGUUCACACUGGCGAAGGGAUGUCCAGGCGCAUCCGG